rnacentral:lncRNA from 1 species
GUCUGUCUCCGGGACCCGGCGCCGGGACCACGGCGGAGCGCGAGGUGGCGCCGCCCCUCCCCGCAGCCCGCCCCUGGAACGCGCAUCCUCCUGGCGAGCUGGCAUCCCUCCCGACACGUGACCGCAGCGGGGACACGCCCGUUCCCCGCCCACUCCCCGCCCCUGCCUGGCCUGCCCACGCCCCCGGCCCGCUCCUGUCCCGCCUGGGCCACCGGCGCUGGUUCCAGGUUUUGCCAGCUACUAGGGACGCGUAAAGCCUUCGCGCUCCUCCCACCACACCCCGAGGGAAGAAGUGGCAGGCCUUACCCGGAGACUACAAGGAACCGCCCGUGUGAGCCAGUGGAAGACUCGCGUCCCCAGGCAAAAUAUAAGUCCUGGGUUAAUAGUCUGAAGUCUGUCAUUAAGCAAUAGGUUAUCCAGCUGCCCAGAUUUUUUUCUUUUUUGCUUUGGCUGCAACUCGACCCGUGGGAACUUAAUUGGCAAUGUAAAUUAGACAAUUUACAAAAAAACACCUCCUUUUACUUUCACCUGUGAAAGGAAGCGCUUAAAAUGCCAUACAGGUGUAACCAUUAUAGAAUAGAUAUGCGUGAGACAAGGAUUUACAAAAUUUCCUCACCUCCUCUCCUCCAGAUUCCAUGCACAAGGCGUCUAGCUAGAGGAGUUAGCAAAUAGUCUAUAACGUGAAGGUUCAAACUCUAGUAUAAUUCCACCGUUUUUGUUUUUUUCUUUUUUUGAGGCAAGGUCUCACUCUGUCUCCCAAGCUGGAGUGUAGUGGCGCGAUCUCGGCUCACUGCAGCAUCGUCUUCUGGGUUCAAGCGAUCCUCCGGCCUCAGCUGGACUACAGGUAUGACACACAGAUGUCUAAGCAACUGCCUUCCAGCAGUGAUUGAUUUUGCUGGUUCCCCACACAAAAAGUUUGGAAGAGACCCUUAUGUCUUCUGUAGAGUUUCUUGGUUGUAAGCAGCAAGCACUGGUGCUGGCUAACUUAAGCAAAUAAAGAAUAUAUCACUCAGACAUCAAAGAAACAGCUGGAAAUCUGGCUUGGCAAAGGCCGGAUUAGGGCACUCCUGGGGAUGUGGGUAGUAGGAAUAGUCUAUAGUUUUUCCUCAGUGCCAACACUGGGAAAGAAUAUGUUCCAAUUAUUUUCAUUUUCCUAUCCUUUUGUCUUUCUUCAGAAGAAGCAAAGUUGAGAGAUAGUCUUUCAUAGCUUUUCCCAUAAGGUAUGUUCUCCUUGGGCAACAUUUUCAACUCAACCUUUAGCCCUUAGCUUGCUUUUUCUUUUUUUUUUUCUUUAUUUUUUUUAUUUUUGAGACGAGGGUCUUGCUCUGUCACCCAGGCUAGAGUACAGUGGCAUGAUCAUGGCUCACUGCAGCCUCAACCUCUCAGGCUCAAGCAGUUCUCCCACCUCAGCCUCCCAAGUAGCUGGGACUACUGGCGCGAGCCACCAUGCCCAGCUAACUUUUGUUUAUUUUUUAUAGAGACAGGGUCACACUAUGUUGCCCAGGGUGGUCUCAAACUCUGGUUUGAGCAAUCUGCCCACCUUGGCCUCCCAAAGUGCUGGGAUUACAGGCAUGAACCACCUCACCUGGCCUUUCUUUAUUCAUCAUGAAUAUACCCUGCUUAGCCUGGUCAACAUGGAGAAACUCUGUCUCUACAAAACAAAAAUUAGCCAGGCAUGGUGGUGUGGCCUGUAGUCCCAGCUACUGAGGAGGCUGAGGUGGGAGGAUCACUUGAACCUGGCAGGUGGAGGCUGCAGUGAACUGAGAUCACAUCACUGCACUUCAGCCUGGGAGACAGAGACCCUGCCUCAAAAAACAAACAAACAAACAAACAAAAAAGAAUAUAUUCCGCUUUUCUAUCCCUAAUUGUCUGCUCAAGCAGUGUGCCUGACAGUCACAUGACCCCUUCUAGGAAGCCUUGGAAAGUCUGCCCUGCCUAUUGCCCCUUUUUGAGGACUUCAUUAUGCAACCUACAAUUCUUGGCUCAGCUGAAGGAGCAAGAGCAGGGCCUCCUAAAUGGCACCUUUCUAUUAGGCUUACCAAAGGCCUGGUAUAUGUGCUUUGCCCAACAGGAAAUCUCUAUACUGAGUAGCAUUGAACCAUCUAGAUUUCUCUCUUGGGUAGGUUUAACCGUGACGCAUGCAAAGGACAGUCCUUAGUCAAGGUAGAUGCAGAAAGGCUCACAGAGGGAAGUGAGAGCAGAGAGUAAGCAGAAGCCAUGGGACAGCCUAAAGGAGAAUACAGAAAAGAUGACCAGGAGCGGCAGAAGCAAGAGCAGAGAGAGAAUGAUUGAGACCCCAGAGUGCGGAAACACUAGGGUAGGGAGCAAAGGAUGGCGCCCCCUGCUGAGAGGUCCAGAAUGGUGGGCUGCAGUUAAAUCUUCAACAACCUUCUGCAGCAGCGUGAUGUCUCUGCUUUUAUGUCUCUGUAUUGUUGCAAUAAAUUCUUACUCUUUAUCUGAUGUAACCUGAGUGUUUUUCUAUUCCUUGAGCCCAGAAAGAGCCUAAUACACCAUUACUACCCCCUUUCCUGUUCUCAUCUCUCCCAUUUUAAUCUGUAACCAACAACCUUGUGGAUACCUCCUUUCCUUUCAACAGCCAUCUCUUCAGGGUCUCAUGUUGUUCUUCGCUCUUCUGACUCUUCUGAAAUACAUCUCUUUUCCAGAUACCUACUAACCACCGCUAUCUAUAUCUCAGUCACCUGUCAGCACCUAAUACAGGUCAAAGGCCCCAUUCUCAAUGAGUUACAAUAGAAGGUGAUUUUACUUUAUUCACUGAAGUCACAAAGAUCAAGGGUGGGAACUUCAUGGGCCGGCAGUCUCUGGGCCUAAAUUGGAAGUAUGAACCAAAUCACUGACUCCUGGUGUUAGAUUUGUUAGAGUCCUCAGAAAUAAUCUAGUUCAACCUCAAGCCUAAAGCCAGACUGUCCUCAAUCACAUUAGGAAGAAGUUUUCCCACCCCUGUCUGUGGCUGGGAACUUUCCAGACAGGCAGGUCACUACUUCACAGUGCAGCCCAACCAUUUGUUUUCCAACAUUAAGAAUGCGGGGCCAGGCAUGGUGGCUCACGCCUAUAAUUCCAGCACUUUGCGAGGUCCAGGCGGGCAGAUCGUUUGAGCCCAGGAGCUCAAGACAAGCCUGGGCAACAUGACAAAACCUUGUCUCUACCAAAAAAAAAAAAAAAAAAAAAAAAAAGGCUGGGCAUGGUGGCACACACCUGUAGUCUGAGACUGAGACCGGAGGAUCACCGGAGCCCAGAAGGUCGAGGCUGCAGUGAGCCAUGAUCGUGCCACUGCACUCCAGCACUGGCAACAGAGUUAGAGGCUGUCUCAAAAAAAACAAAAAUGUUUGAAGACAACAGUCAUGAGCUACCUUGAUAUUUCUUUUCCAGGCUUACAUUCCCCCAUGUCUCAACCCAUCUUCAUGCUCCAACUAGUCAUGGUAGUCUAACACAGUUAGACUAACACAGAAUUAAACAAAUCACAACUUUUUCUGUGAAGCCAAAGAGGGUAGGAAAGUCUUAUCUUAGUAAGUCCUAUUAUAAUAUCAAUUUUUCUAAACCUAUGGCCUUUUUUCCAUACAUGUCAUCUCUGACCUCUCCACUGCUGUCUGGUGGUAGCUAAUUUUUCUCACUUAAUAGAGACCAGGGGGAAGGAGGUGGUGGAGUUAGAUUGGAGAAAGAAAGCAGGGAGUGCAGCAAAGAAGUUAUACAUUUAUAUACAAAUUCCUGGCCUCAUGAAGUUUAUAAUCUAAUUUGGUAGGCAAAGUAUACAAUUAAAACUCAUAAAAAAGACA